UUGCCACUGGGGCUGGGAAUGGGAUGGGGGGGCUGAUAAUCUCGGAUCCUCAAUGAAGGAGUGGAACUUGAUUUCCCAAGAAAAGAAAAAAAAAUAGCUGGCUCAUCACUGCAACAAGCUGACCGCCCUCAGGACCCUGGUCUUUCACCCUUUUCUAACUUGCUCUCACUCUCCCUGCAGGGAAAAAGCCAAUCUUCUCAAGAAUCCCACUUCUUCCCAGAGACUCUGGCCACAUUCAGACACAGUUCCUGAGAGACCUGAGCAGGAGGGCCCAGUUUCUCAGAACUGUUCGUAGAGGCUCAGCUCAGAGAGCUGGGCUACCUCUCUCCUCGAAAGACCACCAGACAUUGGACAGCAUCUGUCAUCAGCAAGAACUGAAGAGGAGUUUGGCACCCAGGCAGCGUGGGACAGGGUCCAGAGACAGCAAAAGGUGGUCUGCUACUAUCAGAGCCCUCUGAAAGGUACCCAUUGGUCACUCCAAACACUACCCAAUGAGAAAUAGAAGAAACACUGAAGAAAUCAUUGUUCCUAGACAUACCUAGCAUCUGUUUCAGCCAAAAUCAUCGAGAGAUCACUGAAGAGAAAAGAUGGAUGAAGAGCAACAUCGAGAGAGUUCAAAAUCACCUCAAAAAAAACUGAAGACAGUUGAAUUCAAGAAAAAGAAACGUGUCAGAUUUCUGUUACCCUGCAAAUCUGACAAGAAAAAGAAACUCUCUUUCCCAGGAGAUACAGAUGAGGCAGUGUUCAGAUGUGACUGCCACUACUGCCAGAAGUGCGUGGGGAACACAUCCAGGGUCUCUGUGGGAACUGGAACAGAAGCAGUUUCUCAGUCAUCCUCCUGGGAAAAGCUAACACUAGACCUCAGUAACUUGACACUCAACCCUCACACCACCCAGCCCUGUCUUGUGCAAGACACCAUACCGAAAACAGAGAACAAAACACAGUGGCAAUGGAAAAACAAAAGGGUGUUUAAAAAGGUUCUCCAUGAAUGGACAGAAUGACUCUGACACUGUAAUCCUCACAAGUAGGAAGAUCCAAACCUACGGGAUCAUGAGCACCAACAUUUUUUUGAGAGCAUUGUCAGGAGGAGUAGUGAUGUCCAACCUGGUGACAGUAAUUCUGCCAGAUCACAGUUGUAAUCUAUUCCACAAAUGUAGCUGUCUUUUCUUUAGUAGUUUUGGCAUCUUCUCUGAGGCAUUCUGGGACAAGAUGCUACUCAGCAAGGAUGUCCAGAUAGCAAUGUUUCUACACUCCUCAUGUCACUGUUCCCAUGGGGAUAGCUACUGUUUUCCUUUCCGCGGGUUUUCGGUUUUUCCUCCCUUACUUGUUGCCAAUAAAUUUAGAACAACUA
rnacentral:lncRNA from 1 species